rnacentral:rRNA from 1 species
UUGGCGGCGUGCCUAAUACAUGCAAGUCGAACGCUUCUUUUUCCACCGGAGCUUGCUCCACCGGAAAAAGAGGAGUGGCGAACGGGUGAGUAACACGUGGGUAACCUGCCCAUCAGAAGGGGAUAACACUUGGAAACAGGUGCUAAUACCGUAUAACAAUCGAAACCGCAUGGUUUUGAUUUGAAAGGCGCUUUCGGGUGUCGCUGAUGGAUGGACCCGCGGUGCAUUAGCUAGUUGGUGAGGUAACGGCUCACCAAGGCCACGAUGCAUAGCCGACCUGAGAGGGUGAUCGGCCACAUUGGGACUGAGACACGGCCCAAACUCCUACGGGAGGCAGCAGUAGGGAAUCUUCGGCAAUGGACGAAAGUCUGACCGAGCAACGCCGCGUGAGUGAAGAAGGUUUUCGGAUCGUAAAACUCUGUUGUUAGAGAAGAACAAGGAUGAGAGUAACUGUUCAUCCCUUGACGGUAUCUAACCAGAAAGCCACGGCUAACUACGUGCCAGCAGCCGCGGUAAUACGUAGGUGGCAAGCGUUGUCCGGAUUUAUUGGGCGUAAAGCGAGCGCAGGCGGUUUCUUAAGUCUGAUGUGAAAGCCCCCGGCUCAACCGGGGAGGGUCAUUGGAAACUGGGAGACUUGAGUGCAGAAGAGGAGAGUGGAAUUCCAUGUGUAGCGGUGAAAUGCGUAGAUAUAUGGAGGAACACCAGUGGCGAAGGCGGCUCUCUGGUCUGUAACUGACGCUGAGGCUCGAAAGCGUGGGGAGCAAACAGGAUUAGAUACCCUGGUAGUCCACGCCGUAAACGAUGAGUGCUAAGUGUUGGAGGGUUUCCGCCCUUCAGUGCUGCAGCUAACGCAUUAAGCACUCCGCCUGGGGAGUACGACCGCAAGGUUGAAACUCAAAGGAAUUGACGGGGGCCCGCACAAGCGGUGGAGCAUGUGGUUUAAUUCGAAGCAACGCGAAGAACCUUACCAGGUCUUGACAUCCUUUGACCACUCUAGAGAUAGAGCUUCCCCUUCGGGGGCAAAGUGACAGGUGGUGCAUGGUUGUCGUCAG